rnacentral:lncRNA from 1 species
CAGCAAGUUCAGGAUCAUUUUAACAGGACCAUAUCCAAAACCUCAAUUGAGCAAAUACCAUAUUAGAAGAGCUAGGAAAAAAAAUAGAUACAAAACUAACUAUAAACUAACAGUUUAACAAUUAAACAUUAUAAAUUCCCUUUUUAUUCCUUAAUCUCCAUUUUUGAGCAUCACAUUGUGUGAGUUUCAAAAAUGUGUACCUGGUAUUGAAUAAACAAAACCGACAGAAGGUGAGAUAUCAGCAGGCAGCAGCAGGUUAGCAGAAUCAACACAACUUAUACCAAUUCAAGCCAGAAAAUGAAGUGAAAUAGCUCAGAAAAUCACUUCAGUCCAAACAAUGAACUAGAAAACCUCAAACUAGGCUUGAUCCUAAUUCAUUUCAACCCAAAGGAAGCAUGAAUUGUUUCAGUAAUUGAGGAUCUCACCACUUGAAGCAAAAAAUCAAUAGAACAGUGUUUUUAUCCAAUUUUUAGCCAUUUCUAAUUCUUUGGGGAUUUCUUUUACUUAAUCACCUAGAAAUCCAUAAAACAGUAACAGUUUAUCUGUUUUUUUUUUUUUUUUUUUUUUUUUUCUGGGUUCUCAACUCUCUCACCCAAAAACCAUGCCUUUAAAGGAAAGCUUAGGAUUCCUUUUAUAGGCAACCCAAGUAGGGAAGACUUCAUAUUCUGAUUUUGCACCUUUUUCCUCUUUUGGUUUCCAAUUUUGCCUAGAUAUCCUCUAACUAUUGACUUGUUACCCAAGUUAAACCACCCAAAAAUCUGAAAUUCUCCUAAAACCCUUACUAGAAGCUUCUGUUAUCAGUUACCAAGGAUUCCCCUAUCCUAAACUUCCUAAAUUACCCCUCUGAUACCCCUGUUACUACCUUGGUUAAUUAGCUACCUUCCAACUCAUAUGUCAAGUUGACCCAAUCAUUUACACCCAACCUAGACUGGCCUCUUUCUUUGGGUUUUCAAACCUAACAUGAACCCAACCCAGUUCAGUAUUUACUGACAAAAUCCAACUCUGAAUGAAAUCCAUAGAAAUAGAAGCAAUUCGGGCAAAACUCCUACUAAUUCCAAUUGAUGCAACUAAAUACUUAGUGAGAUUUGAAAAAAUUCUUAAACUUCUUAACAAAAUUAACGGGCAUAUAAUUAACAUUCUGAAAUUAGAACACUUAAGAUUUUAAAGCACGGGAAGAAGCAGAAAACAAAAAACAAAACAAAAACAAAUAAACUAGAGAAAGAAAAGGAAGUACCCAAGAAAAGAUUCAGGAGAUGAGAGAAGGAGCCUGGGUCUUCAUGCAUUAUUGGAAAAACUGGAAAACCCUAGAUUUGGGUUUUGAGCGGUUGUGGAGGUAUUUGAGUGAGGUUGAGUAUGGAUUUGGCAUAAGGGAGGCAAUGGGGGUUGCAGGGUGUAAAUUUGAGGUGAUUUGAGGGUGGCGCCGCCGCACACGGCGGAGGAGCCAUAGUUUCAAACCAAUACUCGACGGUAUGGGGUGGGAUUCGAGGGAAGCUGG